GCCAGCAUGGUGUAGUGGUUUGAAUGCUGGACUACAACUCUGAAGAUCAGGGUUCAAUUCCCUGCUCAGCCA